rnacentral:rRNA from 1 species
UGGGGAAUAUUGCACAAUGGGCGAAAGCCUGAUGCAGCGACGCCGCGUGAGGGAUGACGGCCUUCGGGUUGUAAACCUCUUUCAGCAGGGAAGAAGCGAAAGUGACGGUACCUGCAGAAGAAGCGCCGGCUAACUACGUGCCAGCAGCCGCGGUAAUACGUAGGGCGCAAGCGUUGUCCGGAAUUAUUGGGCGUAAAGAGCUCGUAGGCGGUUAGUCGCGUCUGCUGUGAAAACUCGAGGCUCAACCUCGGGCUUGCAGUGGGUACGGGCUGACUAGAGUGCGGUAGGGGUGACUGGAAUUCCUGGUGUAGCGGUGGAAUGCGCAGAUAUCAGGAGGAACACCGAUGGCGAAGGCAGGUCACUGGGCCGCAACUGACGCUGAGGAGCGAAAGCAUGGGGAGCGAACAGGAUUAGAUACCCCUGGUAGUCCAUGCCGUAAACGUUGGGCACUAGGUGUGGGGUCCAUUCCACGGAUUCCGUGCCGCAGCAAACGCAUUAAGUGCCCCGCCUGGGGAGUACGGCCGCAAGGCUAAAACUU